CCGCCCCCAAUCCUGAUCCAAACAACGGCCACCCUUGUGCUUCCACCGCCGACCGUGCUGCGGGAAGCCGCGCUUCCUCCGGAACAAGCCCGUCUGCCGGACCGUCGUGUCGUGCGCCGUCGCAGCUGGCCACGCGUGGGAGGAGCGCCGCUGUCGCAAUCGUUCUAAGAGGAGCCGCGCUUGGGCAAGAGCUGCCAUUCGCGCUUCCUGCUGACCGCAGGCUGUCGGUGUGUUCGGAGUCGAGUGCGUCGAUCCGCGUUCGACAUCAUUUAUGAGGAGGGCAUGCCGACACAUGUUUGUGUCUUCUUGCCGUGAGCAGCCUGAUAAGAGUUGUCGCCGAGGGAGCGUCGCAGUGCCUUGCGCCAGAGGAGGAGCACUUCUUGCGGUAGGUGCGAGCGGCCGCGCCGUUCUUCAUUCCUGCCGGCACGCGCCUGACGUUGUCCGCCUCCGCCGCCGAUGGGAUGGACGUCACUGCUGUUGUCCACGCCGCCGGGAGGCUCUCCUCGCCUCUGUGAUUCUUGUGCGCGUGUACCCGCCUUCUCGAGAUGGCCUCUCUCGCUCAACGGAGAGCAAAGCGCUGAUAACGUGUGAAGAAACAAUUGCUAGAA